AAUGGGGGCAACCCUGAUCAGCCAUGCCGCGUGAGUGAAGAAGGCCCUAGGGUCGUAAAGCUCUUUCGCCUGUGAUGAUAAUGACAGUAGCAGGUAAAGAAACCCCGGCUAACUCCGUGCCAGCAGCCGCGGUAAUACGGAGGGGGUUAGCGUUGUUCGGAAUUACUGGGCGUAAAGCGCGCGUAGGCGGAUUGGAAAGUUGGGGGUGAAAUCCCGGGGCUCAACCCCGGAACUGCCUUCAAAACUCCCAGUCUAGAGUUCGAGAGAGGUGAGUGGAAUUCCGAGUGUAGAGGUGAAAUUCGUAGAUAUUCGGAAGAACACCAGUGGCGAAGGCGGCUCACUGGCUCGAUACUGACGCUGAGGUGCGAAAGUGUGGGGAGCAAACAGGAUU
rnacentral:rRNA from 1 species